ACCCAGAUUGUGCUAAUUCAGCAUCCUCUGCAGUGUACCUCCCGUGAUAGGUGGAAUAAUGGUCCCCCAAAGAUAGCCACAUUCUGAUCUCCAAAACCUGUGGAUAUGUUAGGUUAUGUGGCAAAAGGGAAUUAAGUUUGCAAAUAGUUAAGGUUGCUAACCAGCUGACUUUAAAAAUAGCUAAAGGAUCCUGGAUUAUUCAGGUGAGCCCAAUGUAAUCAAAAGGGUCCUGAAAAGUCAAAGAGGAAGGCAGAAGAGUCAGAGGGAGAUAUGACUAUAGAAAAUAUAGAAAAACGGUCAGAGAGAAACACCAUUACUGGCUUUGAUGACGGAGGGAAGGGACAGUAAGCCAAGGAAUAUGGCAAUGUUUGGCAGAUGGAAAAGGCAAAGACUCAGAUUCUCCCCUAGCAUCUCCACAAAGGAAUGCAGCUCUGUCCAACCCUUCGUUGUAGCCAGUUUCCUGGCACAGAGCUCCUAUAACCCUUGGAAUUUCCUAAGUGACAGAGUGAGAGUGAGGAAGAGACGAUCUCUGUGAGUUGAAAGACACCCUAAAGACGGGUGAUUAGGCUGCCUGGAAGUGCCACCUGUUUCAGAUCCCAAACCUGAAAAUCUGGCCCAGAGAAAGCGGCGUCCGGCGGUUCUUAAAAGUCCGGUAUAAUUGUCCAGUGUUUGUGAUAAGGCCGAGGAUACACAGAACUGAAUCAAUUGACCUAUGUAACAUGAUGUGAAAAGAAGGAUGCUAUACAGGACAGGAGAAAUGGAUUCAAGUCCAGAACCUAUCACAAAAGAGCUUGUACAAAUCAACCAAUGUCUUUGAAUCUUGGUUUCUUCAUCUUAAAAUGAAGAGUUUACAUGACACUAAUGGCUUUCAGUGGAGUGGCUGUGUGCAAGCUUCCCAGUUGAGACCCAUUGGAACAGAAUAAUUAAGUCAAUCCUUUGAAGUUCUAACACUCUAAUUUUCUAAAUCUGUGGCAUAACAGAGCCAGUGUCUACAUAUGUUCUCAUUCAUUUUCUUUUCAUUACGCAGUAACUUAUUUAAAAAACAUAAUAAUCAAGAAUAAGGAGGAGGAGAAAAAGAACUUUUAGAAUGUCCUUGGAGAGAAAACAUGAAUGACAAGUCACUCUUUUCCUGUUUUAAGGUCAUGAAAAUGCGAUUACAUUAUUAUGUGAACAACCCUGGAUUGAUUUAUUACUCUGAAGAUAAUGACCCAAGGACCACUAUAUUAUCAGU
rnacentral:lncRNA from 1 species